AGGUGGGAUGGGAAAAGGAUCGUUCGUCACUGGGUGCUUCUUUACUCCCCUGCUCCAAUCCGUGCCGGCUGGAAAUGCUGUGAGAGAAGCCUGGGUUAGUCCGUUUAGACAUAGAGACUGUGCAGCAGCAGUCAGAUCGAGUUACAAAAAAUGCCGGCCAGGCCCACGCUGCAGUAAAUGACGAGAGGCCCAGGAGAGAAUGCGAGCCAAGCGAAUUGCAAAGUAAUAAAGAGAGCCAUUCUUUGUCUGAUGAUUGGACCUAAACCCAGCUAACGUCUUGUCAAGGAAAAGCCAUGACACCCUAUCAAAGGCUUUCUCUGCGUCUGUGGGACAAAUCCCACUUGGUCUUGAAUCAGAAAGGGCAA